AAAUUUCUUUCUCUAAUUCUUCGUCAAUUUAUCCCUUUCUGCACCCAUUGUAUAAAAAAAUUUAAUCAACGUGUGGUUUGUUUGAUCUCAGUACUUCAUUGGUUAAAAUCCGAUUGUGACGUCGAAUUUUCUUGCUGUCCUCUGAAUUUCCUAUUGUGACGACAUGAAAAAAGGCGACCAUGCCUGACGACGUCACAUAGAAAGAACACAUCUUUUUGCAGAUCAUUCGAAAAGAAGGAAUAAGUUUGCCUGCAUAAUGUUAGAAAAUCAUUAGAGAAACAGAUUCCACCACCAAAUCUCGUGUAAUACGAUAUUUAUCCACUCUCGACAGUUAAAUUAUCAAUUUUAAAGUCCUCGCCGAGGCGGCUCGGACUUUAAAAUUGAAAAUUUAACUGUCUCGAGUGGAUAAAUAUCGUAUUACACUCGAUGCAGUGGUGGAAUCUAUAUUUAUCCUCCGUUUCUCAGUUUUAUCAGUAUUGUAUUUCUACAGUAUUCUUUAUACUUUUGCACCCAUCAUUCUCUGUUCUAAUCUUUUUUAUCAUUCAUCUCAGUAUUCUUUCUUUUUUUUAGCCAGUCACAUUUUCUAUUCUUUAAAUUCAAUAUUGACCCUCAUCACAGCUUCAUGGGACUAUAUAUAUAUAUCAAUCUUAUUUAACAGUUAAU
rnacentral:lncRNA from 1 species